rnacentral:rRNA from 1 species
AGAGUUUGAUCCUGGCUCAGAUCGAACGCUGGCGGCGUGGCUAAAACAUGCAAGUCGCACGGAAAGGUCCGUCUAGUUUACUAGUUGGACACUCGAGUGGCGAAAGGGCGAGGAAUACAUGGGUAACGUACCCUGGACUUGAGGACAGCCCGGAGAAAUCCGGGAUAAUACUCGAUGAGACCCCCGUGCCGCAGGGCACAGUGGUCAAAGGCGGGGAUCCCUUCGGGGACCUGUCGGUCUGGGAGCGGCCCAUGCCCUAUCAGCUUGUUGGUGAGGUAACGGCUCACCAAGGCAACGACGGGUACCGGGACUGAGAGGUCGACCCGGCGCAUCGGGACUGAGACACUGCCCGGACUCCUACGGGAGGCUGCAGUAACGAAUAUUCCGCAAUGGGCGAAAGCCUGACGGAGCGACGCCGCGUGCAGGAUGAAGCCCCUCGGGGUGUAAACUGCUGUCAGGGACUACCAAGCAACGAGGGCUAAUAUCCCUCUGCGUUGAGGAUUCCCAAAGGAAGCCACGGCUAACUUCGUGCCAGCAGCCGCGGUAAGACGAAGGUGGCUAGCGUUGUUCGGAAUCACUGGGCUUAAAGGGUAUGUAGGCGGUCCGUCAAGCGUCCUGUGAAAGCCCUCGGCUCAACCGAGGAAUUGCUGGGCGAACUGGCGGACUUGAGGCAGGUAGGGGCGCGUGGAACUCUUGGUGGAGCGGUGGAAUGCGUAGAUAUCAAGAGGAACGCCGGUGGCGAAAGCGGCGCGCUGGGCCUGUCCUGACGCUGAAAUACGAAAGCCAGGGGAGCAAACGGGAUUAGAUACCCCGGUAGUCCUGGCCCUAAACGAUGUCCACUAGGUCGAAGCAGCUUUGACGCUCUUUCGGCCGAAACAAAAGCGUUAAGUGGACCGCCUGGGGAGUACGGUCGCAAGGCUAAAACUCAAAGGAAUUGACGGGGGCUCACACAAGCGGUGGAGCAUGUUGCUUAAUUCGAUCAACGCGAAGAACCUUAUCCUGGGCUUGACAUGCUUGGAUGCCUACUGGGAAACCAGGUCGGCUGCCUUUCGGGGUGAAACUUGCACAGGUGCUGCAUGGCUGUCGUCAGCUCGUGUCGUGAGAUGUUGGGUUAAGUCCCGUAACGAGCGAAACCCUUGUCGUUAGUUGCCAGCGCGUCAUGGCGGGGACUCUAGCGAGACUGCCGGUGUUAAACCGGAGGAAGGUGGGGAUGACGUCAAGUCCUCAUGGCCUUUAUGCCCAGGGCUGCAAACGUGCUACAAUGGCGUGUACAAACCGACGCAAGACCGCGAGGUGGAGCAAAUCGGAAAAAGCACGCCCCAGUUCGGAUUGGAGUCUGCAACUCGACUCCAUGAAGUUGGAAUCGCUAGUAAUCGCGUAUCAGCUACGACGCGGUGAAUGUGUUCCUGAGCCUUGUACACACCGCCCGU